UGUCCUCUCCUCUUGGAACCGAGCAAGCCCAGGGAGUGCGGGGCCCGCCUCCCCAUCUGCCUGAACCCCCAGUGAAGACCCCCUCGGCCUCCCGCGGCAUUCUCAGUCCUUGUGAAAGGUCUGUAUUCCCUGAGCCAUUAGGACCCUGAAGCGGAGAACACCCCAUCUGCGCGCCCCCCAGGAGCAGCCCCCGCCGCGGCCGGUGAGUCCGCACCGGGUACAGGAUGGAACACGGGGAAGGGGGGGCUGGAAGCCCUGGGGCACCGGCACCGUCGGGGGGUUCUGGCUGUAGGCGGGUGUUCUGUGGCGCAGCUUCUGCACCUGGGGACCACACGGCACACGUUGUUCAUUUACUUGGAGACUUGGACGCGGUGGCUUGUCCUGCCCACUCCCGGUGCCACCGCCCAGACGCUUUUGCUCCUCAAGCGCCAUUCGUGUCCCGAUGCGAACCAGAGGCCUUCUUGUUUCCCUGCCCGGCCCGAUGCCACCUCCGACCCCACAGGCCCUCUCUCCUCGCCCGUCAAGCUCUGCCUUCCACCAGCACAGGCCUGUGGUGACUGUGUUCCCAGAAGCCCUUCUGCCCCCACCGAACCUGUUCGUUUCACAAAAGCAACCUGUGUUCCCUGGAGAACCUCAGAAGGCCGCCGCCCCCGCCCACCGGGGAUCAGUCCCGUCUCUGGGGCAGCCCCCCUUGUAGACUCAAACACACGCAGGAAACACAGAUUCCCGACCCAUCAGUGGGCUGUCGCCUUGUGUUCUCACCGUGAACACGGCCCACCGUCCUCACCCCUAAGGAUCACAGGACUUUGGCUUGUUUGGCAUUUUCAUGAUUUAAUCAGCCUUCUCUUGAGAGCUCAUGCUUUCCGAACUGCAGACAAUGCUGCAGUGAACAUCUUCACCCAGUCGAGUUCCUUCAGUCUCGCAGGGACUCCCCAGGAUAAUUUCCUAGUGGUGAGAUUGCUGCAUCCAGGAGAAUGCAGUCCUAAGGGCUCUGUAGGAACAGCCAAGUAGAGGAGCAGG
rnacentral:lncRNA from 1 species